rnacentral:lncRNA from 1 species
UGCAAGAUAUUUUAUUUCAAAUUACUCAUCAUCAGUGGUGGCUUCUGUAUGUAACUGCUGAAAUGGAGAUCCCCAAAUAUUUAAUUGAUAAAAUGGAAAAAAGUAAUCUGAAUCACUUGGUCCAUUAUACUAAUUAUAUGAGUACAAUCAAACAAUGUCUCUGGUGAUUGUUUACAGAAGAAACAUGUUCUCUUUUCCAAUGUUUUACCAUAUACACUACCCAAGGUGCCAUCUUUGACAAGGAUGAGAUCGAUUUUUAUUCUGUUUUAUGUGUAAAAUUGAAUUCAAAAGAUUACCUACUCUGAAAAAGUCAUAAAAAGGUCACUAAGGUAAUAGUAAUUAAAAGUUUACUUUUUUUCUUUGAAUGUAAUGUAAAUUAAACGUAAACGUAAAUUUCAAUAUUUAUCAGUCCAAUAGUUGGGUUGUAAUAUGCUAAAGAAAUUAAGAAAAGAGUCAUGACCUAAAUUUCAAUUAACUUCAAUUGACGUUA